AACUGUUAAUGUUUAUUUCACAUUUCACUCCGUCGAAGACAAAUCAACAGCCAAUGAGGCAUAUACGCUAAAAGAUGCUAGGUUUUGGAAAUGUGUUGUUGGUGUUUUAAGUCCAUCGCUGCCCAGUGCAGAGCAUGCCUCCAGUGAUCUUUAAUGCUAAUUUAUAAAACAAGGUGUCGCAAAGGAAGUGGGUUCGAUGGAGAGGAAGUUGGUGCUGGGUUUCCUUGAAUUGGUUGCUAUGCGUCUCCUUCCCACAAACAUGAUGUUCCUUGGGUGAUGUUAAUUUGGUUGAAAGAUUAUUCAGACCGUUUACCACAUGCUAUUUUUCCAAAUGGGUCGUUCUGGUGGCG